rnacentral:lncRNA from 1 species
AUGAUCGCGUUGCUCGAGCUGCCGUUGGAAGCUUAGAAGCAGGUGCUACCGUGCUAGAUACAAAGCGAUCUAUUUAAAAGCCCUCUGUCACGCACGCACACUUACUGACGAAUCCUCUGGCUCUCUCCUACCACCGCCCGGUGGCGGAUUCCGGAAUUGGUUCAAAAGGCCUUGAUCCCGAACACCCAGGACAGAGACAGAGUACUUUUCCUACCUCUUUCGCCUGCAUCCUUAGAAAACUCCCGUGGAUGAGAAGAUCCCCAGGCCUUUACAAGCUGUUGUUUUACAAAAGGAGAAACUGAGGCAGGAAGAGGCGGUGGAUGUGCACCAGGGCACGUGGUGCGUCGGUGCAUAGCUGAGGGCACAUGGAACAUUCACCAAGAUAAACCAUAUGCUGGAACAUAAAAUUUAUGGAUGUCGCCCAUGAAGCAGAGUCCUUCAGACCCUCAAUCAAAAACAAGUCUCAUUUUACAUUAAAUUGGAGGACUAUCUGGAGUCUCUGACCACCGUGUGACAGAAAAGAGAGCAGAAUUGUUGCAUGAUGGGUAACACUCAUCAGUAAUCGCUGUUUGCCAAGCCAUCUGGGAGGAGACCAAAGAGCUAUAAAAUAAGUUCAGGCACGGUGGUUCAUGCCUGUAAUCCCAGCACUUUGGGAGGCCGAGGUGGGUGAAUCACCUGAGGUCAGGAGUUCGAGAC